CCUACGGGGGGCAGCAGUGGGGAAUAUUGCGCAAUGGGCGAAAGCCUGACGCAGCGACGCCGCGUGAGGGAUGAAGGUCUUCGGAUCGUAAACCUCUGUCAGCAGGGAAGAACGGUCACUGUGCUAAUCAGCAGUGAAUUGACGCUACCUGCAAAGGAAGCACCGGCUAACUCCGUGCAAGCAGCCGCGGUAAUACGGAGGGUGCGAGCGUUAAUCGGAAUGACUGGGCGUAAAGCGCUCGUGGGCGGUAUGACAAGUCAAGGGUGAAAUCCCCGCGCUCAACGUGGGAACUGCCUUUGAAACUGGCAGACUGGAGUGUGUGAGAGGAUAGUGGAAUUCCUGGUGUAGGAGUGAAAUGCGUAGAUAUCUGGAGGAACAUCAGUGGCGAAGGCGACUAUCUGGCACAUAACUGACGCUGAGGAGCGAAAGCGUGGGUAGCAAACAGGAUUAGAUACCCGUGUAGUC
rnacentral:rRNA from 1 species